AUGUUAUCAUAUUUGCAAGAUGACUGCUCCAGCUUCAGCCAUCCCAUCUUUGUCCAAAGGUGGAAGAAUGAGCUUUUAACUCUGACGAGGCUCUGCCAAUACCUGGAUCCAGAUAAGUGUGAGUACUACAUUGGAACACAAGGUAAGAGGAAAAAAACCCUGCUCCUGCCAGAAAGUCAGUGUGCCUGCUUCUGGGAAAUACUGAGAGGCCUAGGUUACUCCUGAUGACUGGGGGCAGUGUGUGCCUGGUGUACUGAAACUCUGUGCUGCCUUCUAGUGACAGUGGACCUAAGAGGGUGUUCUGUGUUUAAAGUGCUUUCAAUUCUGCCCGGAAUAAGCAUGCUCAGUCUUGGAUGAAUUAGCAAAAGGAUUCUGGCAAUUUUCGUCUACAUUUAUUGUGAAAAGUAUAUGUAUAUUUAAUACACACUCUCACUGCUCCUUCCAAAUGUGGAGUGAAACAGCAUUGAUUUAUUUGCAACUCUGACUAUUUUGAGUACUUUAUUCCAAAGGUAUAAAUCAUGUUGAAAAUUGGAAACAGACUUUAUUUACUAAAUACAUUUCUGCUUUGCUUAAGAUGUUUUUCCUUCUCUGUUUCUCCAUUUAUUAUAUGCUCUAACAAAUUAAAUCUAUUAGAAAGGCGGGGUGGGC
rnacentral:lncRNA from 1 species